rnacentral:rRNA from 1 species
UACGUAGGGACCGAGCGUUGUCCGGAAUCAUUGGGCGUAAAGAGCGUGUAGGCGGCUAUUUAAGUCCUGCGUGAAAUCCUGCGGCUCAACCGCAGACGGUCGUGGGAAACUGGAUGGCUAGAGUGCGGGAGAGGAGAGUGGAAUUCCCGGUGUAGCGGUGAAAUGCGCAGAUAUCGGGAAAGAACACCCGUGGCGAAGGCGGCUCUCUGGAACGCAACUGACGCUGAGACGCGAAAGCGUGGGGAGCAAACAGG